rnacentral:rRNA from 1 species
AUUGAACGCUGGCGGCAGGCCUAACACAUGCAAGUCGAACGGUAACAGAAAGCAGCUUGCUGCUUUGCUGACGAGUGGCGGACGGGUGAGUCAUGUCUGGGAAACUGCCUGAUGGCGGGGGAUAACUACUGGAAACGGUAGCUAAUACCGCAUAACGUCGCAAGCCCAAAGAGGGGGACCUUCGGGCCUCUUGCCAUCGGAUGUGCCCAGAUGGGAUUAGCUUGUUGGUGGGGUAACGGCUCACCAAGGCGACGAUCCCUAGCUGGUCUGAGAGGAUGACCAGCCACACUGGAACUGAGACACGGUCCAGACUCCUACGGGAGGCAGCAGUGGGGAAUAUUGCACAAUGGGCGCAAGCCUGAUGCAGCCAUGCCGCGUGUAUGAAGAAGGCCUUCGGGUUGUAAAGUACUUUCAGCGGGGAGGAAGGGAGUAAAGUUAAUACCUUUGCUCAUUGACGUUACCCGCAGAAGAAGCACCGGCUAACUCCGUG